rnacentral:rRNA from 1 species
GGCUAAGGAAGUGAACGCAGGGGGGGGAAGACGUGGGUGGCGCGGGGUGUCGGGAAUGAUUGGGCGUAAAGGGAGCGCAGGCGGGAAGGUAAGUCUAUCUUAAAAGUGCGGGGGUCAACCCCGUGAGGGGAUGGAAACUAGCUUGCUUGAGGGCAGGAGAGGAAAGCGGAAUUCCUAGUGUAGCGGUGAAAUGCGUAGAUAUUAGGAGGAACACCAGUGGCGAAGGCGGCUUUCUGGACUGUAACUGACGCUGAGGCUCGAAAGCGUGGGGAGCGAACAGGAUUAGAUACCCGUGUAGUC